rnacentral:rRNA from 1 species
UACAGAGGUUGCAAGCGUUGUUCGGAUUUACUGGGCGUAAAGCGCACGUAGGCGGGCCGUUAAGUCAGGGGUGAAAUCCCGGAGCUCAACUCCGGAACUGCCUUUGAUACUGGCGACCUUGAGGCUGGAAGAGGUUAGUGGAAUUCCCAGUGUAGAGGUGAAAUUCGUAGAUAUUGGGAAGAACACCAGUGGCGAAGGCGGCUAACUGGUCCAGAUCUGACGCUGAGGUGCGAAAGCGUGGGGAGCAAACAGG